AAAUGCACAUCAACACACAUCUAGACUAGCGGAACAAGGCUCCGAAAGCAAAUAAAACAAAGAGAAGGCACAACUGCGAGCCCCAGAAAACAACAAUAGCAAGCGAAUAAGUCCCGUUGAGAAAAGUUGUACUUUCGAAAGCCGGAUUCUUAGGAGAGAGGAACCCCUCGACUCCUCAUCCAGUCUAGUCAACCAGAUCUUUCAUAUCGUUCGUCAAGAACCAAAACAUGAACGACCGACCUCAGAAAGCAAACGUGCGAAGGGGUGAACGAGAUGCACCCAUCUCUUAAAUAAAAAACGAAAUCGAUCAAUUUCGGAAAGCAAACGCGCAAAGAGACGAACAGAGAGGUAAUCAUCUUCUUGUCCAGAUCUUUCAGAUCGAUCAUCAACAAGCAUAAAAGGUAAUCAUCUUCUUGUCCAGAUCUUUCAGAUCGAUCAUCAACAAGCAUAAAAGGUAAUCAUCUUCUUGUCCAGAUCUUUCAGAUCGAUCAUCGACAAGCAUAAAAGAAGGAUCGAUUUCAGAAAACAAACACGCGAAGAGACGAACGGAGAGGUAAUCUCAGAUCUUUCAGAUCGAUCGCCAAGAAGAAAGCAAACACCGAAAGAAACGGAUGGAGAGGUAAGACAGGAAUGCGAGAGGAUCGAAUCGAGGUAC
rnacentral:lncRNA from 1 species